rnacentral:snRNA from 1 species
GCAUUUGAGGGUGAUCUGGCUGGGACAUCUAUCACUGCAUUGAUCGACAGGAUUGAUUCUACUGAUCUGGUUGGUUAGGCAUGUGUCUGUCCCCUUUGUCCCUUACCACCCCAUGUGUGUUCCUCCCCAAAGCUGCACGCUUUGUCAAAGAGAACAAAGAGGAUGACCUUCCCAGAAUAGAGAAGGACCUGUCUUCGGCCAAGGGUAUAGGCGUAGCUGUGCUCCCCACUAGAACUUCCAAACAAGCUAAGUUUUUGAAAAGUGAGUCGAUUUUAUUUCAUUUUG